UUACGACCAUAUAACGUUGAAACACCUGUUCUCGCACGAUGGCCGAUGUUAAGCGACGUUGAGCCUGAUCAGUAUUUAGAUGGGUGACCGCUUAGGAAUAUUAAGUGCUGUA